AUUGAACGCUGGCGGCAUGCCUUACACAUGCAAGUCGAACGGCAGCACGGGAGCAAUCCUGGUGGCGAGUGGCGAACGGGUGAGUAAUAUAUCGGAACGUGCCCAGUCGUGGGGGAUAACGUAGCGAAAGCUACGCUAAUACCGCAUACGAUCUAUGGAUGAAAGCGGGGGAUCGCAAGACCUCGCGCGAUUGGAGCGGCCGAUAUCAGAUUAGGUAGUUGGUGAGGUAAAGGCUCACCAAGCCGACGAUCUGUAGCUGGUCUGAGAGGACGACCAGCCACACUGGGACUGAGACACGGCCCAGACUCCUACGGGAGGCAGCAGUGGGGGAAUUUUUGGGACAAUGGGCGCAAGCCUGAUCCAGCAAUGCCGCGUGCAGGAUGAAGGCCU
rnacentral:rRNA from 1 species